GGCGUUUUCUUACAAAUAAAAAAAAAUGGAGUGAAGAAAACAAUGCUGCGGAGUUGAGCUGCCCCAGACUUUCUCACGGAGAAGGGAGAGAAGGGGCUGGCUCCUUUGGCUGCAUUGUCCGUGCCUUUCUCCUGCGACUUUCCGUCCUGCAGCCCCGGGGGGACGAGAUGUCCCCGAGCCCUGUUUCUGAUGGGGGGAGGCAUCAGCCUUAGGCGCUGUGCUUUCCGCUUGCUGUCCUAACAUAGCCGCGUAAAUGCCACCAGGGGCCAGAGCGUGUGGACCCAACGUGCCAAAGUGUGCAAGGCACUUCACAUGAGACUUCGUCCCUGCCUGAGACAGUUUACAGUCUGAAUUUCAGACAUGACACAAGAGGAGGAGAAAAUUACUGUUUUGGGAAGGGGAGUUGCC